UACGAAGGGGGCUAGCGUUGCUCGGAAUUACUGGGCGUAAAGGGCGCGUAGGCGGGUCGUUAAGUUGGGGGUGAAAGCCCAGGGCUCAACCCUGGAAUUGCCUUCAAUACUGGCGACCUUGAGUAUGGCAGAGGUGUGUGGAACUCCGAGUGUAGAGGUGAAAUUCGUAGAUAUUCGGAAGAACACCAGUGGCGAAGGCGACACACUGGGCCAUUACUGACGCUGAGGCGGCGAAAAGCGUGGGGAGCAAACAGG
rnacentral:rRNA from 1 species